CGCAAAUCACUAGUGAUCUUUACGCGAAGAGAAAGCUUCCAUAUGCCUAUGCUUAUGGCGAUGGCAUAGGAGUGGUCGACGUGGAACCAUCAAGGCCCUUGAUCAUCAUCAGUGGACGGUGGCGCCAGAGACCGCCGCACUGCCGCAGAAGUGGGGCGGCUGCCUGGUCGGCCUCGGCGGCGUGGGGAGCCUGGAGCCCGGCGAGCCUCAUGCGCUCCGCGCCCGGCGGCGCGGCGGCCGGUGGGCGGCGCGUCGGGACUCGUCGGAGCAGCGGAGAUGGGAUGACGUGCGUCUUUUCUUUUGCGUGUUCUAAUUUUUGUAUAUUGAAUUUUUCCCUUAAAUUUUGUUUCCAAAAUUUUGUGUUCGCAACUUUUUUGUUCCAAAUUUUUCGUUCGUUCAAAUUUUGUUCUUGAGUUUAUGUUUCAAAGUAUUGUCUCCAAUAUUUUUCACACUGUUCGGAAUAUUUUGGUUUUGCAAAAUUUCUUUGAUUCAAAAUUUUGCUUGUACAACUUUGUCUUUACACAAUAAUUUUGUACAUAAAAAUUUAUGUAUAUAUGAUUGUGGAAAUUUGUUUUAUAAAUUGUGCGUCUUCCUAGCAUCUAUUCAAAUGAUAGAAGCUCAGAAGAUCAUCGGGAUUGGGAUGAAUGUCAACUCAACUCAACUCAACGGGACUCCCGAAGGAGGCCUGAAAUGGUCGUGACUCUGGUUUCAUGCCUCCAUUUCCGUAGUCCGUAGUCUACUCAUCUGCUAGUCUGCGUGUUGUCUAUUGUGAGCAUGUUAUGUGACUAGAACAUGAUGUGGUGAAAUAUUCGUUUAUUUGUUUCCGAGAAUUGUUGGUGGCACGACAUACGAUAGGCGCUACCACCAUCCUUGUAAUACUUGCACCUCCAGGCAAUCUACUGUGAUAAUCAUGAAAGCUUCAUGCUGCUUCAA